rnacentral:rRNA from 1 species
GUGUCAGCAGCCGCGGUAAUACGUAGGUGGCAAGCGAUACUCGGAAUCACUAGGCGUAAAGCGCAGGUAGGCGGUUCGAUAAGUCUGUUGUGAAAGCUCCCGGCUUAACUGGGAGAGGUCAACGGAAACUGUCGGGCUAGAGUGUGGUAGAGGUAGCUGGAAUUCCCGGUGUAGCGGUGAAAUGCGUAGAUAUCGGGAGGAAUACCUAUGGCGAAAGCAGGCUACUGGACCAUCACUGACGCUGAUCUGCGAAAGCUAGGGGAGCAAACAGGAUUAGAUACCCUGGUAGUCC